rnacentral:rRNA from 1 species
GUACACAAAAAUGCACAUAUUGUGAGCUCGAUGAGUAGGGCGGGACACGUGGUAUCCUGUCUGAAUAUGGGGGGACCAUCCUCCAAGGCUAAAUACUCCUGACUGACCGAUAGUGAACCAGUACCGUGAGGGAAAGGCGAAAAGAACCCCGGCGAGGGGAGUGAAAAAGAACCUGAAACCGUGUACGUACAAGCAGUGGGAGCCUCUUUAUGGGGUGACUGCGUACCUUUUGUAUAAUGGGUCAGCGACUUAUAUUCUGUAGCAAGGUUAACCGAAUAGGGGAGCCGAAGGGAAACCGAGUCUUAACUGGGCGUUAAGUUGCAGGGUAUAGACCCGAAACCCGGUGAUCUAGCCAUGGGCAGGUUGAAGGUUGGGUAACACUAACUGGAGGACCGAACCGACUAAUGUUGAAAAAUUAGCGGAUGACUUGUGGCUGGGGGUGAAAGGCCAAUCAAACCGGGAGAUAGCUGGUUCUCCCCGAAAGCUAUUUAGGUAGCGCCUCGUGAAUUCAUCUCCGGGGGUAGAGCACUGUUUCGGCAAGGGGGUCAUCCCGACUUACCAACCCGAUGCAAACUGCGAAUACCGGAGAAUGUUAUCACGGGAGACACACGGCGGGUGCUAACGUCCGUCGUGAAGAGGGAAACAACCCAGACCGCCAGCUAAGGUCCCAAAGUCAUGGUUAAGUGGGAAACGAUGUGGGAAGGCCCAGACAGCCAGGAUGUUGGCUUAGAAGCAGCCAUCAUUUAAAGAAAGCGUAAUAGCUCACUGGUCGAGUCGGCCUGCGCGGAAGAUGUAACGGGGCUAAACCAUGCACCGAAGCUGCGGCAGCGACACUAUGUGUUGUUGGGUAGGGGAGCGUUCUGUAAGCCUGUGAAGGUGGCCUGUGAGGGUUGCUGGAGGUAUCAGAAGUGCGAAUGCUGACAUAAGUAACGAUAAAGCGGGUGAAAAGCCCGCUCGCCGGAAGACCAAGGGUUCCUGUCCAACGUUAAUCGGGGCAGGGUGAGUCGACCCCUAAGGCGAGGCCGAAAGGCGUAGUCGAUGGGAAACAGGUUAAUAUUCCUGUACUUGGUGUUACUGCGAAGGGGGGACGGAGAAGGCUAUGUUGGCCGGGCGACGGUUGUCCCGGUUUAAGCGUGUAGGCUGGUUUUCCAGGCAAAUCCGGAAAACCAAGGCUGAGGCGUGAUGACGAGGCACUACGGUGCUGAAGCGACAAAUGCCCUGCUUCCAGGAAAAGCCUCUAAGCAUCAGGUAACAUCAAAUCGUACCCCAAACCGACACAGGUGGUCAGGUAGAGAAUACCAAGGCGCUUGAGAGAACUCGGGUGAAGGAACUAGGCAAAAUGGUGCCGUAACUUCGGGAGAAGGCACGCUGAUAUGUAGGUGAAGCGACUUGCUCGUGGAGCUGAAAUCAGUCGAAGAUACCAGCUGGCUGCAACUGUUUAUUAAAAACACAGCACUGUGCAAACACGAAAGUGGACGUAUACGGUGUGACGCCUGCCCGGUGCCGGAAGGUUAAUUGAUGGGGUUAGCGGUAACGCGAAGCUCUUGAUCGAAGCCCCGGUAAACGGCGGCCGUAACUAUAACGGUCCUAAGGUAGCGAAAUUCCUUGUCGGGUAAGUUCCGACCUGCACGAAUGGCGUAAUGAUGGCCAGGCUGUCUCCACCCGAGACUCAGUGAAAUUGAACUCGCUGUGAAGAUGCAGUGUACCCGCGGCAAGACGGAAAGACCCCGUGAACCUUUACUAUAGCUUGACACUGAACAUUGAGCCUUGAUGUGUAGGAUAGGUGGGAGGCUUUGAAGUGUGGACGCCAGUCUGCAUGGAGCCGACCUUGAAAUACCACCCUUUAAUGUUUGAUGUUCUAACGUUGGCCCGUAAUCCGGGUUGCGGACAGUGUCUGGUGGGUAGUUUGACUGGGGCGGUCUCCUCCUAAAGAGUAACGGAGGAGCACGAAGGUUGGCUAAUCCUGGUCGGACAUCAGGAGGUUAGUGCAAUGGCAUAAGCCAGCUUGACUGCGAGCGUGACGGCGCGAGCAGGUGCGAAAGCAGGUCAUAGUG